rnacentral:rRNA from 1 species
UACGUAGGGGGCAAGCGUUGUCCGGAUUUAUUGGGCGUAAAGAGCGUGUAGGCGGCCUGAAAGGUCAGCUGUGAAAACUCGAGGCUCAACCUCGAGACGUCGGUUGAAACCAUCUGGCUAGAGUCCGGGAGAGGAGUGUGGAAUUCCCGGUGUAGUGGUGAAAUGCGUAGAUAUCGGGAGGAACACCAGUGGCGAAAGCGACUUCCUGGCCUGUUCUUGACGCUGAGGCGCGAAAGCUAGGGUAGCAAACGGG